AGAGUUUGAUCCUGGCUCAGGAUGAACGCUAGCGGCAGGCUUAACACAUGCAAGUCGAGGGGCAGCGCGGGAUAGCAAUAUUCUGGCGGCGACCGGCGGAAGGGUGCGUAACGCGUGAGCGACAUGCCCGUUGCCCGGGGACAACCGGUGGAAACGCCGACUAAUCCCCGAUGGGAUACGAUGCUGCAUGGCAUUGUAUUGAAAGUUACGGCGGCGACGGAUUGGCUCGCGUCCGAUUAGCUGGUUGGCGGGGUGACGGCCCACCAAGGCUACGAUCGGUAGGGGUUCUGAGAGGAAGGCCCCCCACAAUGGGACUGAGACACGGCCCAUACUCCUACGGGAGGCAGCAGUGAGGAAUAUUGGUCAAUGGGCGGAAGCCUGAACCAGCCAUGCCGCGUGCGGGAAGGAGGCCCUAUGGGCUGUGAACCGCUUUUGCCUGGGGGCAAUAAGGGCGUCGCGCACGUCCGAUGAGAGUACCAGGCGAAUAAGCAUCGGCUAACUCCGUGCCAGCAGCCGCGGUAAUACGGGGGAUGCGAGCGUUAUCCGGAUUCAUUGGGUUUAAAGGGUGCGUAGGCUGUGCGUCAAGUCGGGGGUGAAAUUCCGGUGCUCAACACCGGGGCUGCCCUUGAUACUGUCGCGCUGGAGUGCGGAUGCCGCCGGAGGAAUGAGUGGUGUAGCGGUGAAAUGCUUAGAUAUCACUCAGAACACCGAUUGCGAAGGCAUCUGGCGAAUCCGUAACUGACGCUGAGGCACGAAAGCGUGGGGAUAGAACAGGAUUAGAUACCCUGGUAUUCCACGCCGUAAACGAUGAUGGCUAACCGCCGGCGACACACUGUCGGUGGCCAAGCGAAAGCGAUAAGCCAUCCACCUGGGGAGUACGUCGGCAACGAUGAAACUCAAAGGAAUUGACGGGGGCCCGCACAAGCGGAGGAACAUGUGGUUUAAUUCGAUGAUACGCGAGGA
rnacentral:rRNA from 1 species